AUACGUAGGGGGCGAGCGUUGUCCGGAAUUACUGGGCGUAAAGGGUGCGUAGGCGGCCGAUUAAGUCAGAUGUGAAAUACCAGGGCUCAACCCUGGGGGUGCAUUUGAAACUGGUUGGCUUGAGUGCAGGAGAGGAAAGUGGAAUUCCUAGUGUAGCGGUGAAAUGCGUAGAGAUUAGGAGGAACACCAGUGGCGAAGGCGACUUUCUGGACUGUAACUGACGCUGAGGCACGAAAGCGUGGGGAGCAAACAGGAUUAGAUACCCUGGUAGUCCACGCCGUAAACGAUGGAUACUAGGUGUAGGAGGUAUCGACCCCUUCUGUGCCGGAGUUAACGCAAUAAGUAUCCCGCCUGGGGAGUACGGCCGCAAGGUUAAA
rnacentral:rRNA from 1 species